CGCGCAGGCGGCCUGAUAAGUCAGAUGUGAAAUCCCACGGCUUAACCGUGGAAGUGCAUUUGAGACUGUCAGGCUUGAGUACCGGAGGGGAAAGUGGAAUUCCCGGUGUAGAGGUGAAAUUCGUAGAUAUCGGGAGGAAUACCGGUGGCGAAGGCGACUUUCUGGCCGAGUACUGACGCUGAGGCGCGAAAGCGUGGGUAGCAAACA
rnacentral:rRNA from 1 species